UCAUCCGUAGCGUAGUGGUUAACGCAGUUGUUUUUGAAUUUUCAGACGCAGGUUCGAUUCCAUUGGGUGCC